GGUCUACAGCAGUAGUGGGUUGCCCCCGGUUCGGACCAGUUCUAUAGAACCGGUAGUAAAACCGGCAGGAGGCUCCGCCCAUUGACCCUGACUUCAUCAGAAGCGAUCUGUGCAUGCGCAGACGUAAGGUUCCAAAUCCAGAAAUCUCUGCCAGGGCUUGUCAUCUGCUGAGGCAAGAGAAGCGAAGGCUAUGAUGGAAGCACACAAAGACACAAAGCUAUGAUUGGUCAGGCAUUCAAUGAUCAUUGGAAUAAGUCCUUCUUGUCACACUUCUCCCAAGCAAGUACAGAGGAAAUGAUGUGGAAAAUCUCACCUCCUAAAUAUUUCUGGUCAGAAACUUUUAAACCAUACCACAAGCCUGUGCAAGCCAGCUCCACCCUUUGGACUUUGGAUCUCGAAAAAUUAAACAAAGCAGA